AGAUCCGAGUUCGUAUUUUGCUCUUCAAGAUAGAUCUUAGCACUAUCAAAAUGGAUCUUUGCAUAAGAAAACACUAGAAGCGUGUACACAAACCUAAAAAAUGUGGGUUAUCUCCAUUUUUUGCUCUUGUUCUUCGAGUUCUUAUGAUUUUGUUUGAUAUGAGUUUUUCUCUCUCGAUUUCUUUGAAUGGAUGAUCGAUUUGUGUUCAUUUUGACGGAUCUUUGCAUGAAGAAACACAAAUUUCAAAAAGAUGAGUGAGCUCUCUUUUAACCUCUUGUUCUUCGAGUUCUCAUGAAUUUGAUUGUUCUAGAUUUUUUAUGUUCUUCAUUAUGUUCUUUGUUCAUUUUUUUAGGUUUUUUGUGACUGAUACAAGCGUUUUGUUCACGUCCCAUCGGUGGUCACAGGUCGUGGCAGUAUGUUUGUUUCACUGCCUCAUACGGACGUUGUGUUCACGACUUACUGGGACGAACGUAGGCGUUGGUGGUACGUAUGUUUUCACUGUCUCAUACGAACGUAUAGCUAUUUGUGAGUUUUUUUAUAUAUCUUAUGGGUUCGCCGUGUUCUUCAUGUCCCUUGUGUUCUUAACGAAGUCACAAUAAAGUACUAAUAAAACACGAACUUAUAGAUAGUUCAUACUUUUAUAUGUCUUAUAUAUGUUUACAGAUAGGAAUGUAUGUUUAUAUUGAUAAGCUGGUAUGUUUCGUCCAUACGAACCUCCAAACUCAUUAAAACGUUCGUGUGUUUGGGUUCUUCAUACGAAUGUGUGAUUAUAUUGAUAAGUUUGUAUAUUUCGUCCAUACGAACCUGCAAACUCAUUAAAACGUUUGUUUGUUUGAGUUCUCCAUCCUCUUUAUGUUCUUGAAGAAUUCCUACGUUUGUACCGAUAAAACUUACAAACCUAAUGAGUUUAUAUCUAACAAGUUUUUAUGUUUCUUUCCAUGUUGCAGGAGUACCCAAUAAAGACGACGUGUUGCAUUUAGAGAAUUUUAAAUGGUUGUUUUGAUAAAUGUACAAGUUGUAUUUAUGAAUUUAUAACUUGAUGUACCCAUUUUGAUAACAUUUUAUUGUUUCAUCUUGUUAUAUUCAGAUAUGGAAUACGUAUAUUUUUCUGAAGGUAUAAAUUUAAGGAAAAUUC
rnacentral:lncRNA from 1 species